UGCAGAAAGUGAACCAUGGUAUUUAAACGAAUUUGGAACAUGUUUUCCUUGUUCAACUAUACUCGUUGGCGACCUGAAGACUCAAAGUCUGAGGAGUCUGGACCGGCAGAUUUCGAAAGAGCAAUAAUAAGCACUGGUUAUGGAAAGUUCAACUACUUAUUACUACUGGCCGUGUUGCCCGCCAGUUUCUCCAGUAUCUUCUCGUCGUCGGCCAUGUCGUACGUUUUACCGUCCGCAGAAUGCGACCUGGGCCUCACCAUGUUCCACAAGGGUCUCCUCAACUCGAUGACAUUCGCAGGUAUGAUCAGCACCUCGUUUUUCUGGGGCUUCAUGACCGACACAUUUGGUCGUAGGAAGAUUAUGGUUUAUGGCUAUAUGUUCACCGGACUUCUGAGCGUGGCAACAUGUUUCUCGCAUACCUCUUGGCUUUUAAUUUUGUUCAAAUUCCUCGACGGUGUGAUUAUAUCUGGUCCAUAUGCAGCGUUGAUGUCAUACUUAGCUGAAAUACACAACGAGACGCAUCGAUCUCGCAGCUAUAUGUGGCUAGGAGUCUUCUUCUCCUUAGGAAACAUCUCUCUACCUUGCAUAGCAUGGCUGAUCAUACCCCAAAAAUGGACCAUAAAUCUAGGAAGCGGAGCGAUGGAAAUCAAUUCCUGGAGAGUAUUUCUGGCAAUCUGUUCGUUGCCAGAAUUCCUUGCAUGCGUGGCCCUGUACGCUUUCCCCGAGAGCCCGCGUUUCCUUUUAUUGAAAGGCAGACGCGAAGAAGCCCUCGAGGUCUUCAAGAAGAUCUACUCGGUUAACACCGGCAAAGAGCCGGACACGUAUCCGAUAAAAGAUCUGGAGGACGAAUAUUCCGUGGAAACGUGCAGCAACAGUCUGAAGGACAAAUUGCAUUCGGGUUGGUUGCAAAUUAAACCAUUGUUCUCGUCGCCGAAUAUCUUCAAGCUCAUCGCUAUCAGUUUGAUCCAACUCGGAGCCACAAUAGGGUCAAACUCCAUCAGACUAUGGAUGCCGCAACUAUUCACAAUGAUGGAGCAUUUCAAGCACGAUUACAUGAAACAAGAAUAUUCGAGCAGCCAGCCGCGCUUCUGUUACAUGUUAGGCCAACAGCAAAGCAAUCAUAGUUCCUUCUCAAGUUUCAAGAAUGAAACUUCAAACGUUGCUCACGAAUGCAUACCGGCGGAAUUGAAUUCAACAGUAUUCAUCAAUUCUAUUGUGAUAGCUACAACUGGUGUUGUAGGAUAUACUUUAGCGGGAUCGUUAAUCACUGUUAUAGGAAAGAAGAAACUGAUAGCGACCUGUUUCAUGGUGGCCGCAGCUUGCUGCGCAUCCCUAUAUUGGGCAGACAAUACCAAUAGCAUUCUCGGUUUGUCUUCAGUUUUCGUGGCUAUGUCGAGCAUAGGCGGUGCCUGUGUCAUAAACGUUAUAGUCGACAAUUUCCCCACCUGUCUCAGAACUAUGGCGGUUAGUUUAACUAUGAUGGUUGGCAGAAUUGGGGCAGUCAUAGGAAACUUGUUAUUCCCAAUUUUAUUCGACUUGUCAUGUUUGGGACCUUUCGUCAUGAUUGGCUCUGCUUCUUUAGUAUCGGCCUUAUUGGUUACUCUUCUUCCCCGGAAGCACUCCGGCAAGGAUAAAUCGAAACAGCUCGCCUGAGAACCGCCAUAUUGGAUAAAAUACGCAUACACAUCUAGGAAUAAAACAUUCGCUUGUAAAUACGUCCCUGGUCUUUCGUCGACUGUGUGUAGUUUCGAUGCAUGAUUAUUUUUAUCAUGUAAAUAUGUAAAUAUACAGUUAUACUCAUGUAGCAUAAGAUCACCGUUUUAUAUAUUCGUGCAAUUAAACUCGAUCCGCGGAACCAGCGUCAUACCUGAAACUUUUAGUGAGUCUCGUAGUUAAACAGCGUGAAAUAAUUAUUUUAGACUAAUCCUUCAUCGUAUUUUAAUCGUUUCGUCAACCAGUGAAUUGUUAGGUAAUCAGUCGAGUUGCGUCGUGAUGAAACGAUGUAACAAAAAGGAUCAUUAAUGUUAUAUAAUAAAUCUAUUUUAUUAUUAUUUUAAUGUGAACACAUUAUUUUCGUCGACUGAGGUAUUAAAUAAGCACAAAAUUGUGAAAAAAAUUUAUACUAACAGCAAGAGUCUUAAGAAAAAAAUAUUAAAAACUUUGUUAUAUUCUUAAAAUUAUUAUGAGUGUAUUCUUCAGACUGAAAUGAAUCAAAAAGUCCUUUACAGUUUUGCAAUCGGUGGUCUCGUUCUUGAGAUAUUAAAAAUUGAGUAUCAGGCUCAUGGGCUUCUCCAUUUAACCCCAAAGCAACUUUAACAUACUCUAAUUUCUAAUAUUCUAAUAUUGUUAUAUUUAUUUCUAGUUAUAGUAAAUUUUAUUUGCUUGAAAAGUAAAAGAAUUUAUCCGACACAUAUUUACAAUCAAAAUGCGUUCCCGUAGGUUUGUAUCAAAUAUGCAUGCGCAAAUGCCACCCCUAAUGACUAGCUGCAUCCCCUGUUCCAACAAAAAUGUUUGAAGAACGGCGGCUGAUAAAACAGUUUCGUUAUCAGCGCAUUCGAGGGAAUUUAGUUCGUGACAACCUACAGCGCCUCGUCA
rnacentral:misc_RNA from 1 species